rnacentral:rRNA from 1 species
ACGUGUCGUUUCGAUACAUUAGAACGACUCUCGGCAACGGAUAUCUCGGCUCUCGCAUCGAUGAAGAACGUAGCGAAAUGCGAUACUUGGUGUGAAUUGCAGAAUCCCGUGAACCAUCGAGUCUUUGAACGCAAGUUGCGCCCGAAGCCUUCGGGCCAAGGGC